GGAUUCGAGUUUGAUUUUUAAAUUUAUACUAUUUGGAUAACCGAAUAACCGAACUAGUUAUAAAAAAAAAUUAAGCCUUAAAGCCUUCAGUUUUCAGAUCUUUGAGUUAAAGGUUAAAAAAGUAAUCUUUCUCACUCUUUAGUCUUCAGGAUCUGAUCUCUCUCAAUCUCAUGACUCAUCAUAUUAUUAGACUCAUCAUAUUAUCCCCUCAUCUCUACAGUCCCGAUUGACAUCUCAGUAUCUCCCUCUCCUACAGUCCAACAGUGUCUCAGUAUCUCACUCAGAUCUCAAAUUCCUCUCUACUCUUAUCUCUUUGAAGUCUGAUCUCUGCCCAAAACCCAAAACCUAAAAUCUCACUAUUACCCCAAAUCACGAGUCGCGACUCCGCCUAGCGCCUACAGUCCUUUGCGACCUCGCCUUCCGCAGCCUCGCGGCCCUUGCCUUCCGCAGCCUCUCUGCCUCUCCGUGGCUCCGCCUACACUCCGCUUCUUCUCUCAUCUUCACCUGUUUGAUAUAUAUAUAUAUAUAUAUAUAUAUGAUGUGUGAGAGUAUUUGUUUUCUCGAUCCUCCUUGUGUGCUUAAUUAGAGUGAUCAAUUGAUUAUUGUAAUUUGUGUUUUGGGUUUUGGGUAGUUGUUAUUGUUUUCCCUUUUACCCCCAGUCCCAUAAAGUAAACUUUAUAUAUAUAAUUGUUCAUUAUUUUUCUGGUACUAUGCUUCAUUCAAAUAUUAUUUGAAUAUCCAAAAUGAAUCUGUAUUGGGAGGUCUGUUUGGCUGUUUCUUUGAAUAUAUACAAUGCAACCCUAUAGAAGAAACAUAAUCCAGAACAUUUCGAUUUUUAACCGAAUAGUAAAUUCGGUUAUUGGGUAAUUCGAUUAUCUUUUAAUUGGGUUAGUAGUUCGGAU
rnacentral:lncRNA from 1 species